rnacentral:tRNA from 1 species
AGUUUAAGUAGUGUAAUGGCACGUUUGAUUUUCAGUCUUUCAGAAAGGCUUAGUUCUUCUUAAAUUU